rnacentral:misc_RNA from 1 species
UUGGCAUGUGACGGCGAGAUUGACGGCGUCGGCAACCGCGGGUCAUAACGAACCUGUCCUAAUAUCCGUGAUCACGACCAACGGAGGAAACACUGGCGGCGCUAUCAUCGCUGUCCGGACGCAAGAAUUGGCGUCAGCAAGAACGUGUGGCGCAUCACGAGGCAUGUCAUCCUCAUCGCCUUCAAGACCGUGGCGUUCCACGGCCACAUCGGCAAGGUCGAGGUUGCCGCCGUCUGCAUUGUCAACGGCGUCAUCGAGGGCCUCACCUUCGGCCCCCUGAAAAAAGGACGUUCCAGGGUCCAAACCUACGUGGCAGCGACUGAUCCUGUCACGCGGUUAUGCUCGCGACGACCUCGACACUACCUCGCGCGGGUGUUCAUUGUCGGGCAAGACGCAGCACUCCCACCAGUGCACACCAUCCCUGAACGCCGUGUGCAAGUGCAAAACGUGCACUUCUGUGUGCUCCAUGGGUGGACAGCGGUGGUUCCGCUGCCGGUGGUGGAGUGCAGCCUCCCCACUGCAUCUCUGUCACCACCGGUGCCGGUGGGUGACGCGGGGUCGUCUGCAUCUGCCCCCAUGGAGGUCGAUCUAGCGGCACCACCGCCUCCUCCACCCACUGCAGGGGCUGUUGGAUGUCGUUCCCCAUCUCCACCAGCGUCGGUGGUUGUUGGGACCAACGCUGCCCGUCGUGGGCAACCCUCUCGCGCCGUCGACGCUCCACGAGGACGCGUCAUCUUCACUGGCCACCGCCCAAACGGGGUGGCCCCAUCUUCCUCCUCCAAUGGGAGCACCUAA